rnacentral:rRNA from 1 species
GUGCCAGCCGCCGCGGUAAUACGGAGGGGGCUAGCGUUGUUCGGAAUUACUGGGCGUAAAGCGCACGUAGGCGGACCAGAAAGUUGGAGGUGAAAUCCCAGGGCUCAACCUUGGAACUGCCUUCAAAACUAUUGGUCUGGAGUUCGAGAGAGGUGAGUGGAAUUCCGAGUGUAGAGGUGAAAUUCGUAGAUAUUCGGAGGAACACCAGUGGCGAAGGCGGCUCACUGGCUCGAUACUGACGCUGAGGUGCGAAAGCGUGGGGAGCAAACAGGAUUAGAUACCCUAGUAGUCC